rnacentral:lncRNA from 1 species
CUAGAUUAACUAAUUUAAUGUUAUUGAUUUUUGCUGCAUGGACUCUCUCCCAACAGAAAGCUGACUUUUCUCCUUGAAGUUUGAGAGACUUUCAUUCUGACUCAAAUAUUAUCUGAUUGCCUAGUGGAUAAGGUAUAAUGUGGUAUAACUGCAACAGUGGUGAGAUACCUGAUGGGACCACGCGGAGCUGUCACACCAUAGGCUCAACCAAACUUGUUCCAGAUCUCCAGAACCUGCGGUGAAUGGAAUUUUCCACUACUGCGCUGAAUGGAAUUUUCCACUACACUCGGCAUUAACGUAAAAUUUUAAGGAAAACAAAACUUUAUAAACCUGGAAAGUAAUUUAUAUUUUAUGUUUGAAACUAAAAAUAAAUGAUAAUUUUAUUGCA